CCUACGGGAGGCAGCAAGGAAUUUUCGGCAAUGGGCGCAAGCCUGACCGAGCAACGCCGCGUGGAGGAUGACGGCCUUCGGGUUGUAAACUCCUUUUGCGGGGGAUGAUGAUGACCGUACCCCGCGAAUCAGGCUCGGCUAACUCUGUGCCAGCAGCCGCGGUAAGACAGAGGAGCCAAGCGUUGUCCGGAUUGACUGGGCGUAAAGCGCACGCAGGCGGUGGGGCACGUGGGGUGUGAAAGCGGCCCGCUUAACGGGGCGAGGCCAUCCCAUACGGCCCGACUCGAGAGUGGCAGAGGUUCGUGGAAUUGCCGGUGUAGUGGUGAGAUGCGUAGAGAUCGGCAGGAACACCAAGGGGGAAACCAGCGAACUGGGCCAUAUCUGACGCUCAGGUGCGAAAGCGUGGGGAGCGAACCGGAUUAGAAACCCCGGUAGUCC
rnacentral:rRNA from 1 species